rnacentral:rRNA from 1 species
GUCCAGGGCCCUACGGGGCGCAGCAGGCGCGCAADCCUUUACACUGCACGACAGUGCGAUAAGGGAAUCCCAAGUGCGCAGGCAUAGAGCCUGCGCUUUUGUCCACCGUAGGGAGGUGGACGAAUAAGGGCUGGGCAAGACCGGUGCCAGCCGCCGCGGUAAUACCGGCAGCCCGAGUGAUGGCCGAUCUUAUUGGGCCUAAAGCGUCCGUAGCUGGCCGCACAAGUCCAUCGGAAAAUCCACCCGCUCAACGGGUGGGCGUCCGGUGGAAACUGUGUGGCUUGGGACCGGAAGGCGCGACGGGUACGUCCGGGGUAGGAGUGAAAUCCCGUAAUCCUGGACGGACCGCCGAUGGCGAAAGCACGUCUCGAAGACGGAUCCGACAGUGAGGGACGAAAGCUAGGGUCUCGAACCGGAWUAGAUACCCGGGUAGUCCUAGCCGUAAACAAURCCUGCUAGGUGUGGCUCCCACUACGAGUGGGUGCUGUGCCGUAGGGAAGCUGCUAAGCAGGCCGCCUGGGAAGUACGUCCGCAAGGAUGAAACUUAAAGGAAUUGGCGGGGGAGCACUACAACCGGAGGAGCCUGUCGGUUUAAUUGGAUUCA